UUUCUGGGCUUCAUGAAUCCCAUCUGCAAGAAGAUGAAUCCACUGUGGUUCUUCCUCUUCCUGGUGUCAGCUCCCAGAGGUGUCCUGUCCCAGGUGCAGCUGCAGGAGUCGGGACCCAGGCUGGUGAAGCCCUCACAGACCCUCUCCCUCACCUGCACUGUCUCUGGAUUCUCAUUGACCAGCAGUGUUGUAGCCUGGGUCCGACAGCCUCCAGGAAAGGGGCUGGAGUGGGUUGGGGGGAUAUAUGGUGGUGGUGGAAGCACAGAUUAUAACCCAACUCUUAAGUCCCGGCUCAGCAUCACCACGGACACCUCCAAGAGCCAAGUCUACUUAUCGCUGAGCAGCCUGACAACUGAGGACACAGCCGUGUAUUACUGUGCGAGAGACACAGUGAGGGGAAGUGUGCAGUGUGAGGUGCAGCUGGUGGAGUCUGGGGGAGGCCUGGUGAAGCCUGGGGCGUCUCUGAGACUUUCCUGUGCAGCCUCUGGAUUUACUUUUGAUGAUUAUGCCAUGAGCUGUGUCCGCCAGGCUCCAGGGAAGGGGCUGGAGUGGAUCUCAGUUAUUAGUUGGAGUGGUGGUAGCACAAACUAUGCAGACUCUGUGAAGGGCCGAUUCACCAUCUCCAGAGACAACUCCAAGAACACGCUGUAUCUGCAAAUGAACAGCCUGAGAUCUGAGGACACGGCCGUGUAUUACUGUGCGAAAGAUACACAGUGA